CCCGGAUACAUUAAAUGGACCAUAUCCUCAUUUCUUAGUUGAAUGCAUCAGAUGUAAAGGUAAUGUGUAACUAAAUAAUGGCAGGAAAGCAAACUGUACAGGUAAGGAAGGUGAUCCACAACUUGAGCUCGUCGGGCUAGAGCAUCCCCAUGGUUGCUAUGAAAGCAAAAGCAGCCCCAGCAUACGCAACUGUGUUCAAGAUUUGCGCCGGAAGCUUUGUACUAGGUCUGCACAUCAAGAUACUGCUAAAUGAGGAAACAUAUCCAAGAAUAGUACUCCCGGCUGCAAAAUCUCGUAAGAUCUUUGUGUUGCGUGAGAGAGGAUGGUUGCCGUUACCAAGCCACGCUGUUAACAAAGUAACAAAUACUUGGGACGCAAUCAGAAGGGAUGAUUCAAUCAUCUUUGGGCGCAGCAUCACAAGUAACAAUAUGAGCGUGACAUGAGCGUGCGUGGAGGGUUUAUUUCUUGAUUUCGGUUGUCAAUUUCAUCUUUUAGCCUCUGUCCCGGGCGUGCCAUCUCUCCUGCGAUAGUUUCGGUGAUUCGAAUUGUUCAAUUCAGAGAGAAUCUUUGAAAAAGUUCUCUCCACUUUCCGUUUCUCUCUCUAAAAGUUAGGUUUGUUGCUCUGUUAUCGUACCAACCGGUUGGGUCUCUGUAAAGGAGUAGUUUUAGGUGGCUCUUGUCACCGAAAACUAACCCCAGGGUCCCUUGUUGUUAGUUUAUUUUAUGUUAUUCGUAUUAAUUUCAAUUAUUUCUUGUUAGUUUAUGUUGUUUUUGUGGAACAUCAGUCUUUCUUUUGUAUUUUGUGGGAUUGGUUUUCGUUGGCCAAGAUUUUAUGCGGUAAUGUCUGCGAUCUGGGCUUGCCUUGGCUCUAUGGAGUGUUAUGUUCUGACGAUACCAAUUCUAGAUAGAGGAUGGAAGUACGUAUGUGGUGAUUAUUGAUUUCAAGUAGUAUAAGGGAAGAUUUUUCAGCAACAUCAGUGGCUUCUUUCUUGAUAUGAAUAGGAAGGAUUCUGAAGCAGUCUUUAUGAUUAUAUAUAGCUCAUCUCCUUCUACUCUCCUUCAAUGACCCUUUAAUGGUUUGAUUAAUGCACUUCAAUUGAGAAGGCGGUCAUUUUGGCGUUGUUAUACUUAUAUUCAAGGCCAAUACACAGAAAGAAUGCAAUAGAUGGUGGCGCGUUUAUCUCAAUCGCGUUCCACGCGUGUUUUAGGCUGUCGGAGGAAGAUCUUAAAGGGUUUCAGAAUUUUCUCUUUGUUAUUGGGCCUAUGGGCCUGGGUUAGGACUAUGAGCCCAUUUAUUUAACUCCUUCGGGAGUUCGGCUUAGUUGGACCAUAAGCCCUUUUCAAGUUCUUGUUUGUAGGCUUGGUUUGCUUGUGUCCCUUGUACUCACUUCAUCUUUUGGAGUAUUAAUACAAGUUUCUUUUCCUUUUGACUAGAAAAAAACUUUUUCACUUC